rnacentral:rRNA from 1 species
AUUGAACGCUGGCGGCAUGCCUUACACAUGCAAGUCGAACGGCAGCACGGGUGCUUGCACCUGGUGGCGAGUGGCGAACGGGUGAGUAAUACAUCGGAACAUGUCCUGUAGUGGGGGAUAGCCCGGCGAAAGCCGGAUUAAUACCGCAUACGAUCUACGGAUGAAAGCGGGGGACCUUCGGGCCUCGCGCUAUAGGGUUGGCCGAUGGCUGAUUAGCUAGUUGGUGGGGUAAAGGCCUACCAAGGCGACGAUCAGUAGCUGGUCUGAGAGGACGACCAGCCACACUGGGACUGAGACACGGCCCAGACUCCUACGGGAGGCAGCAGUGGGGAAUUUUGGACAAUGGGCGAAAGCCUGAUCCAGCAAUGCCGCGUGUGUGAGGAAGGCCUUCGGGUUGUAAAGCACUUUUGUCCGGAAAGAAAUCCUUGGCUCUAAUACAGUCGGGGGAUGACGGUACCGGAAGAAUAAGCACCGGCUAACUACGUG